GUGGGGAAUAUUGGACAAUGGGCGCAAGCCUGAUCCAGCCAUGCCGCGUGAGUGAUGAAGGCCUUAGGGUUGUAAAGCUCUUUCAGUAGGGAAGAUAAUGACGGUACCUACAGAAGAAGCCCCGGCUAACUUCGUGCCAGCAGCCGCGGUAAUACGAAGGGGGCUAGCGUUGUUCGGAUUUACUGGGCGUAAAGCGCACGUAGGCGGAUUGGUCAGUUAGAGGUGAAAUCCCGAAGCUCAACUUCGGAACUGCCUUUAAUACUGCCAGUCUCGAGUCCGGAAGAGGUGAGUGGAACUCCUAGUGUAGAGGUGGAAUUCGUAGAUAUUAGGAAGAACACCAGUGGCGAAGGCGGCUCACUGGUCCGGUACUGACGCUGAGGUGCGAAAGCGUGGGGAGCAAACAGGAUUAGAAACCCGUGUAGUCC
rnacentral:rRNA from 1 species